rnacentral:lncRNA from 1 species
CUUGAUGAUGCCGCCGCUUUAAAAAUAGGGGUUGAUUGUGACAAGAGAAUACCAGCACACAGAGCUCAGAAUUUUCACAAUUAAAAACAGUCUCCCCCUCCCGCCCCUGCACACACCCCAGUCGCCUCCCCCAGCAAGGACUGGGGACCGGGGGGCUGUAGUCCGGGGUGGCGGCGGGGCCCCUUGAUGCGGCACUGCCAGAGGAGAUAACUGCCAAGCGGAUCUGGAGGAGAUUCAGAGUUAAAAUCCCUUCUCCGCCAUGCAGAUGCCACAGAAGCAGAGGCAGGCGACAAGCACUUUCUCAGAGCCUCGAGGAGAUUUUUUUCUUUUUUUUUAACUUGAACUCUGGACCAUCUUUGUACAGACCAAUGCUUUGUCUUCCGGGAAUUACUAUGUGGCACAUGCGUCUCUCUCUCUCUCUCUCUCUCUCACACACACACACACACCACCCCGAGAGGUCGCCCCAAACGGUGGGUUUGGGGGGAAGCUCUGUUGAGGAAAUGAACGCUGCCCGACCGGGAGACAGACGCGCACAGCAAGUGUCGGUGCAGGGCCGAGCCGCCCGCCUCGGGAGCGACGCGAGCUUGUCUGCACUGCGCUCGGCGGCGGCGUCAAGGGCGCCGGCGGCCGCCGCGACUUCGCCUUCAGCGUCCCCCGGUGGCACCGUCCGGGUUUGCGGAGCGAAAGCCGGGCGCAGAGCAACUUGAUGUGGGUUUGGAGUUACCACGUCUUCGGACUGUGAAAAGCUGCCUCACGGGGGACUUGGGGACGGAGAGGUGAACAAAGCGACAAUCUUGUCUUUUUUUUUUUUUUUUUUUUUUUAAACAUAACAUGAAGCUGGUAGAACCGACUUAGACUACUAGGAAUUUGGAGGUGUUGGGGGUAGGAUUUGGGAAGGGGUUAAUGCUGGGUUUAGGACCACUGUGGGAAAUGCCCAGUUCAAAGGAUCGCCCGCUCUCCCGCUGCGCUCCCGGGAGGUCAGCCCGGCGGAGGCGCCUGCGCUCGCGGUCGCCUUCCCGCAUUAUGACACCUGCCCUCGCCCUGCAACUCCCACGGCCCCGCGGCCACAGCCCUCGCACGGGUUGGAGCCAGCAAAAGUCUCUGCGCGCCCGGUCCCUUUAAAUGGUCCUCCCUUCCCUUUCAGCCCGAGGACACUGACGCGGGCGAGGACCGCAGUGCGGCCAGCGGCGGGGACCUCGCCGCCCCCCGCGCCUCCUCCGCGCGG